GCUCCAAUAGCGUAUAUUAAAGUUGUUGCGGUUAAAAAGCUCGUAGUUGGAUUUCUGUCGGGAAUGGACGGUCCACACGCUGUGUGAGUAUCUGUAUCAGCCUGGCAUCCUCCUAGAGAACGUACUGCUCUUAACUGAGUGGUGCGGAAUCUAGGACUUUUUACUUUGAGGAAAUUUGAGUGUUUACGGCAGGCAAUCGC
rnacentral:rRNA from 1 species